AGAAGAUAGACGUACCAGGCUCUUCAACCCAGCAGUUGAAAGAAAGUGAAAGGAGAGUCCUGGCGCCAAGGGCUAUUCUACAAGAGAAACUCUGAAGAUAGUUCUCAUUCUUCUACAUUACCAGGAACAGAUGGAGCCAUCCAAGUGAAAAACAAGGCCUGCUCUGGCCUCCAUACAAACUGGUUUUGUGAGAUUUUGUGCUAUUUCACAAACUUCUCUGAAGGGAGACCCACCAGAAGGGCCAGGAGGUGGGGAAAUCCAACAGAAGCAGCCCAGGAAACAAUGUCGCUACCAGACUGUCUUUGACUUCCUAGGGGAAAAAAAUUAUCCACCCACUGACAUCAAAAAGGAAACAAUUUGAGGUCAAUUCCCAGGAAUUAUGGGAAGAAAGCUCUUGCAGUAUUAUGUCAACCUAAGUUGUUGCAAUAGGACAGAACACUAAUCCAAAUAUUCUAUUUUUUGUGGACAGGAACUGCUCCACUAAUUGGCCUUCCUUCCUUCUAACAUUUGGCAGCUUACUUUGCACAACAUCAUAGCCCAGAAGAUUGGAGGCUGAGAAAACCUAGAGAUUAAUUUUUCAGUAUUAAUUCAUGAUUUUUAAAAUCUUAUACUCCUUAAUUGAAUGUAAUGUGUUCCCUGUCACUGCCUGUGUAAGAAUCUUCUCCCCCUACUUUGACACGGCUAGAAUAAACACUCAUCUUUUUGUUUAAUAGUUUCC